rnacentral:rRNA from 1 species
CAUCACAUCCUGGGGCUGGAGCAGGUCCCAAGGGUAUGGCUGUUCGCCAUUUAAAGUGGUACGUGAGCUGGGUUCAGAACGUCGUGAGACAGUUUGGUCCCUAUCUGCCGUGGGUGUAGGAAGCUUGAGAGGAUCUGUCCCUAGUACGAGAGGACCGGGAUGGACGUACCUCUGGUGGACCAGUCGUGGCGCCAGCCGCGCAGCUGGGUAGCUAUGUACGGUCGGGAUAACCGCUGAAAGCAUCUAAGCGGGAAACCCACCUCAAAACGAGGCUUCCCUGAGAGCCGUGAUAGACUAUCACGUCGAUAGGCCGGGUGUGGAAGCGCUGCGAGGCGUGAAGCUUACCGGUACUAAUUGCUCGAUAGGCUUGAUCUA